AAAAUUUUGAGGAGAAAAGAAAAAGAAGGGAGACACGUGAACACUUUGAUGCGAGGAUUGGAUUGCUGGACACGAGCAUUGCUCUGAUUUGGACAGAGGUGGAGUUUGUUCACAAAAUCUAAGUAUACUCCGAGGGUACAUGUAAAAGUAGAAAAAGGAAGAUAAAAAUUAGUAAGACACUUUAAGCUUUAACGCCAUAUCAAAGUGUAAAGAAAAGAUAAUAAUGUAAAUUACAAUCCUAAAUUAACAUAGUACUUUAAGAUGCAAUAUAAAUUUAAAGACAGGCACAAAGUGACUAUGUUCUUCAAAUCAAAGUUAAUUGUCCAAAUAUAAAUAUCUUUUCGCGCAACAAAUCGUUUACGUCCAUUUAGCUAUUACAAGCUCGAGCAGUUGUAAAAUUAAGCGUAAAACAAACUAUAAGAAGGUGGUCACAAAUCACGUAUAUUUAUGGAUUGAUCAAUAGUUGAGUUAUAGAAUUUAAAGACACUUUCAUAUAGCUUCACUUGUCAAAGAAAACGCACACAGUAUGUUCUUCAACAUCUAAAGAAAACAAGCAGAAGAGUUGAAGCUAUUUGUUUCAUUUCAGGAUCACCUUAAUCAAGCUCCCAAUAAAACUUGACGUUGAAUUUAUUUAUUAAUUCAAAAGAAUCUUUAGCUUAAAAGAAAAUGCAUAAAACAGCCACACGUAAGAGUCCAUACUUUAGAUAGAAGGAGACGAGAUAGCAGAGGUAUAUAAAAUACAAAUCAGAUUCAUUAGCGGCUUGUUCAUAUUUUGCCAAUUUGUGAGAUUUUCAAGUCAUUGUUUCAUUAAAGAAUACCCAUAUUCUCACAUGAAUAUCGAAUGAGUAAAAGGGGGAAAACAAACUGCCGAUUCAAAAUCAAACCACAUUAUGGUAAAAACUAAAAGUUUUUGCAAAACUUUAUUCAUCCCGAAUUCGAAGCAUCAUGUAAACACAAAGCAACCAAGAUUCUAAUUUUAGGAUUACUAUAAAAAUAGAGUUUUAGAUGUACGUUAUAACUUGUUCUCUGUACAACCACAUAUCAGGAGUAUUAGAUAAUCAAGGCAAGAUAUAAAGCAAAUGAAAAACAACAAUGAAAUCGAAAUAGAGUGGGAAACUACUUUCAGUUAUUUCUCGAGAUUAUACUUGAUCUACAUCAAAAUUGAGAACAAAAAUCAAGAACACAUCCAACAGUAUUGAAACAAAACAGAACACAACCAACAGGUCUUGAAACAAACUAGACACACAUAUGCACAUAUUCACAGACUUAUAGACUUAUGUACUCACCUGUGAGAUAAUUUUUCAAGUCAAAAUUAUAUUUAUCCUUAGAAUCCAAAAAAAAUUAACUCAUGCUUGACCAAAGUGAAUAACAAAAUCAAACUUUCACAGAACUGAAAGUGAAGGAGACAAAGGUACAAAAAAAUCAAAGAGAUAGAUUCAUACCUUUUGUUGAGCAGCAAAUCUGGGGCUCUACGUCAAGAAUUUUUUCAGAUAUCUAGCUCGAACUUCGGAAUCUCGAUCCUAUACCGAAAACAAGAAAAGAAACUUUCGAUUCUUAACUUUGUUUGUGAAUUUGUAAAUAUUCCCCAAUUUUAGAGUGUUCUAACUUAUUUUUUUUCUAACUCUCCUUUUUUUUGAGUGCUAAAAUCGCGAGUAUUUAUAGGAAAAUCCGGACUUCAAAGUCCAAAUUUGAACCAAAAAUUCGAGAAAGUCAACGGGUAAAUUCAAAAUUUGAAAAUCAAAGGCUGAAAUGGACUAAUA
rnacentral:lncRNA from 1 species